rnacentral:rRNA from 1 species
UACGUAGGGGGCAAGCGUUGUCCGGAUUUAUUGGGCGUAAAGAGCGUGUAGGCGGCCAGGUAGGUCCGUUGUGAAAACUGGAGGCUUAACCUCCAGCUGUCGAUGGAAACCAUCUGGCUGGAGUCCGGAAGAGGAGAGUGGAAUUCCUGGUGUAGCGGUGAAAUGCGCAGAUAUGUCUCAGAACACCGAUUGCGAAGGCAGCUUACUAUGGUCUUAUUGACGCUGAGGCACGAAAGCGUGGGGAUCAAACAGG